GGUUAAGUGACUAAGCGUACACGGUGGAUGCCUAGGCAGUCAGAGGCGAUGAAGGGCGUGCUAAUCUGCGAUAAGCGUCGGUAAGGUGAUAUGAACCGUUAUACCCGACGAUACCCGAAUGGGGAAACCCGGUGCACUCGUGCAUCAUUGCAGCAUGAAUACAUAGUGCUGCAAGGCGAACCUGGGGAACUGAAACAUCUAAGUACCCAGAGGAAAAGAAAUCAACCGAGAUUCCCCCAGUAGCGGCGAGCGAACGGGGAACAGCCCAGAACCUGAAUCAGUUUGUGCAGCAGUGGAAGCGUCUGGAAAGUCGCAGGGUACAGGGUGAUACUCCCGUACACGAAGCUGCACUUACUGUGAGUUCGAUGAGUAGGGCGGGACACGUGACAUCCUGUCUGAAUAUGGGGGGACCAUCCUCCAAGGCUAAAUACUCCUGACUGACCGAUAGUGAACCAGUACCGUGAGGGAAAGGCGAAAAGAACCCCGGCGAGGGGAGUGAAACAGAACCUGAAACCGUGUACGUACAAGCAGUGGGAGCACCUUCGUGGUGUGACUGCGUACCUUUUGUAUAAUGGGUCAGCGACUUAUAUUCUGUAGCAAGGUUAACCGUAUAGGGGAGCCGCAGGGAAACCGAGUCUUAACUGGGCGUUAAGUUGCAGGGUAUAGACCCGAAACCCGGUGAUCUAGCCAUGGGCAGGUUGAAGGUUGGGUAACACUAACUGGAGGACCGAACCGACUAAUGUUGAAAAAUUAGCGGAUGACCUGUGGCUGGGGGUGAAAGGCCAAUCAAACCGGGAGAUAGCUGGUUCUCCCCGAAAGCUAUUUAGGUAGCGCCUCGUGAACUCAUCUCCGGGGGUAGAGCACUGUUUCGGCUAGGGGGCCAUCCCGGCUUACCAACCCGAUGCAAACUGCGAAUACCGGAGAAUGUUAUCACGGGAGACACACGGCGGGUGCUAACGUCCGUCGUGAAGAGGGAAACAACCCAGACCGCCAGCUAAGGUCCCAAAGUCAUGGUUAAGUGGGAAACGAUGUGGGAAGGCACAGACAGCCAGGAUGUUGGCUUAGAAGCAGCCAUCAUUUAAAGAAAGCGUAAUAGCUCACUGGUCGAGUCGGCCUGCGCGGAAGAUGUAACGGGGCUAAACCAUGCACCGAAGCUGCGGCAGCGACACUAUGUGUUGUUGGGUAGGGGAGCGUUCUGUAAGCCGUUGAAGGUGGACUGUGAGGUCUGCUGGAGGUAUCAGAAGUGCGAAUGCUGACAUAAGUAACGAUAAAGCGGGUGAAAAGCCCGCUCGCCGGAAGACCAAGGGUUCCUGUCCAACGUUAAUCGGGGCAGGGUGAGUCGACCCCUAAGGCGAGGCCGAAAGGCGUAGUCGAUGGGAAACAGGUUAAUAUUCCUGUACUCGGUGUUACUGCGAAGGGGGGACGGAGAAGGCUAUGUUGGCCGGGCGACGGUUGUCCCGGUUUAAGCGUGUAGGCUUGCGUUCCAGGCAAAUCCGGAACGCUUUAAGGCUGAGGCGUGAUGACGAGUCACCACGGUGAUGAAGCAACAAAUGCCCUGCUUCCAGGAAAAGCCUCUAAGCAUCAGGUAACACAGAAUCGUACCCCAAACCGACACAGGUGGUCAGGUAGAGAAUACCAAGGCGCUUGAGAGAACUCGGGUGAAGGAACUAGGCAAAAUGGUGCCGUAACUUCGGGAGAAGGCACGCUGGCGCGUAGGUGGAGGGACUUGCUCCCCGAGCUGAAGCCAGUCGAAGAUACCAGCUGGCUGCAACUGUUUAUUAAAAACACAGCACUGUGCAAACACGAAAGUGGACGUAUACGGUGUGACGCCUGCCCGGUGCCGGAAGGUUAAUUGAUGGGGUUAUCCGCAAGGAGAAGCUCUUGAUCGAAGCCCCGGUAAACGGCGGCCGUAACUAUAACGGUCCUAAGGUAGCGAAAUUCCUUGUCGGGUAAGUUCCGACCUGCACGAAUGGCGUAAUGAUGGCCAGGCUGUCUCCACCCGAGACUCAGUGAAAUUGAACUCGCUGUGAAGAUGCAGUGUACCCGCGGCAAGACGGAAAGACCCCGUGAACCUUUACUACAGCUUGACACUGAACAUUGAGCCUUGAUGUGUAGGAUAGGUGGGAGGCUUUGAAGCGCGGACGCCAGUCUGCGUGGAGCCAACCUUGAAAUACCACCCUUUAACGUUUGAUGUUCUAACCUGGCGCCGUGAUCCGGCGUGGGGACAGUGUCUGGUGGGUAGUUUGACUGGGGCGGUCUCCUCCCAAAGAGUAACGGAGGAGCACGAAGGUUAGCUAAUCACGGUCGGACAUCGUGAGGUUAGUGCAAAGGCAUAAGCUAGCUUGACUGCGAGAGUGACGGCUCGAGCAGGUGCGAAAGCAGGUCUUAGUGAUCCGGUGGUUCUGUAUGGAAGGGCCAUCGCUCAACGGAUAAAAGGUACUCCGGGAUAACAGGCUGAUACCGCCCAAGAGUUCAUAUCGACGGCGGUGUUUGGCACCUCGAUGUCGGCUCAUCACAUCCUGGGGCUGAAGUAGGUCCCAAGGGUACGGCUGUUCGCCGUUUAAAGUGGUACGCGAGCUGGGUUUAGAACGUCGUGAGACAGUUCGGUCCCUAUCUGCCGUGGGCGCUGGAAGAUUGAGAGGGGUUGCUCCUAGUACGAGAGGACCGGAGUGAACGCACCACUGGUGUUCGGGUUGUCAUGCCAAUGGCACUGCCCGGUAGCUAAGUGCGGAAAAGAUAAGCGCUGAAAGCAUCUAAGCGCGAAACUUGCCUCGAGAUGAAUCUUCCCUGGGCCUUUAAGGCCCCUGAAGGGACGUUGAAGACUACGACGUUGAUAGGCCGGGUGUGUAAGCGCAGCGAUGCGUUGAGCUAACCGGUACUAAUGACCCGUGAGGCUUAACCUU
rnacentral:rRNA from 1 species